UUACCUACCCUUGACAUGGUCGGAAUCCUGAAGAGAUUCGGGAGUGCUCGAAAGAGAACCGGCGCACAGGUGCUGCAUGGCUGUCGUCAGCUCGUGUCGUGAGAUGUUGGGUUAAGUCCCGCAACGAGCGCAACCCUUGUCCUUAGUUGCUACGCAAGAGCACUCUAAGGAGACUGCCGGUGACAAACCGGAGGAAGGUGGGGAUGACGUCAAGUCCUCAUGGCCCUUAUGGGUAGGGCUUCACACGUCAUACAAUGGUCGGAACAGAGGGUUGCCAACCCGCGAGGGGGAGCUAAUCCCAGAAAACCGAUCGUAGUCCGGAUUGCACUCUGCAACUCGAGUGCAUGAAGCUGGAAUCGCUAGUAAUCGCGGAUCAGCA
rnacentral:rRNA from 1 species